AUGUUGAAGAAAAAUCUCGGGCUAAAGAUACUACUGAAAAAGGAGUAUUUCAAUCAUCUUCGUGGUGGAUUGAUUCGGGUCGCAAGGGAUUCUUCCGUCCUAAUGGGGAAUGGGUCACAUGCUUCUGUUCGUGGCAUUGGCACGGUGGAUCUGAAGUUUACUUCGGGAAAGAUCGUGCAACUAAGGAACGUGCAGCAUGUCCCUACUAUGAACAAGCAUCUAGUUAGCGGCUCCCUUCUAUGUCGAGAUGGAUUUAAGGUAGUUUUAGAGUCCAAUAAAGUAAUCGUGUCAAGAUUUGAACAAUUUAUAGGAAAAGGCUAUGAGUGCGGAGGCUUGUUCCGUUUUUCUCUUUCAGAUUUUUGCAAUAAGUCAAUAAACCAAAUUUGUGCUAGUGUUAAUGAUGAUGCAAGUAUUUGGCACUCUCGUUUAUGUCAUAUUAAUUUUGGUCUAAUGUCUCGGCUAUCCAGCAUGAGUUUAAUUCCGAACUUCACAGUUGCCAAAGGUUCUAAGUGCCAUAGUUGUGUGCAAUCUAAGCAACCUCGAAAGCCUCAUAAGGUUGCCGAGGAGAGAAACUUGGCACCUCUAGAACUCAUACAUUCUGAUGUUUGUGAGAUGAAUGGUGUGUUGACAAAAGGUGGAAAGAGAUAUUUCAUGACUUUGAUUGAUGAUGCGACUAGAUUUUGCUAUGUUUAUUUGUUGCAAACUAAAGAUGAAGCAUUAGACUACUUUAAAAUCUAUAAAGCUGAAGUUGAAAAUCAACUAGAGAGAAAGAUCAAGCGUCUUAGGUCCGAUCGUGGUGGAGAGUAUUUUCCAAAAGUUUUUGAUGAAUUUUGUGAGGAACAUGGUAUUGUUCAUGAGAGGACGCCUCCCUAUUCACCUCAAUCAAAUGGAGUGGCCGAGAGGAAAAACCGCACAUUGACUGACUUGGUGAAUGCCAUGUUAGACACUGCUGGUUUAUCUAAGGCAUGGUGGGGGGAGGCUCUAUUGACUUCAUGUCAUGUCCUGAAUAGAGUUCCCAACAAUAAUAAGGAGAAAACCCCUUAUGAGGAGUGGGUUGGGAGAAAACCAUCACUUUCUUGUUUGCGCACUUGGGGAUGUUUGGCAAAGGUCAAUAUUCCUAUUCCUAAGAAACGCAAACUUGGACCAAAGACAGUGGAUCGUGUCUUUCUAGGGUAUGCUCAACGGAGCAUUGCUUAUAGGUUUUUAGUGGUAAAAUCCGAAGUACCUGAUAUGCAUGUUGAUACUAUAAUGGAAUCUCGUGAUGCAACAUUUUUUGAGAACAUAUUUCCUAUGAAAGAUAUGCAUAGCAUUGCUAGAUUUUCUUCUGAGAUAAUUCCUGAAUCUAGUACAACUGAUGAAUAUUUCGAACAAUCACAUGAGGAAGUCCUUGAGAAGGAUAACAAUGAAGUUCCUAGAAGGAACAAGAGACAAAGGAUUGCAAAAUCCUUUCGUGAUGAUUUCAUUGUAUACCUUGUGGACGACACACCCAAGACGAUUGCAGAAGCAUAUGCAUCUCCGGAUGUAGAUGAUUGGAAAGAAGCUGUUCAUAAUGAGAUGGACUCAAUUCUUUCUAAUGAAACUUGGGAACUAACUGAUAGACCAUAUGGUUGUAAACCUGUGGGCUGUAAGUGGGUGUUCAAAAAGAAGCUAAAGCCUGAUGGUACUAUUGAUAAGUACAAGGCGAGGCUAGUGGCCAAGGGCUACACUCAGAAAGAAGGCGAAGAUUACUUUGACACCUAUUCACCCGUUGCUAGAAUGACCACCAUUCGAGUGUUACUUUCCUUGGCUGCCUCUUAUGGUCUUAUCAUUCAUCAAAUGGAUGUAAAGACAACUUUUCUCAAUGGAGAGUUGGAAGAGGAGAUCUAUAUGGAUCAGCCUGACGGGUUUGUGGUAAAGGGUGAAGAGAGAAAGGUGUGCAAGUUGUUAAAAUCUUUGUAUGGUCUGAAACAGGCACCUAAGCAAUGGCAUGAGAAGUUUGAAAGAACUCUGACUUCUGCAGGAUUUGUGAUUAACGAGGCUGAUAGGUGUGUUUACUAUCGCCAUGGUGGGGGCAAUAGUGUCAUAUUAUGUUUGUAUGUGGACGACAUACUGAUCUUUGGUACAAACAUUAAUGCAAUUAAUGAGGUCAAGUCUUUUCUAUCAAAAAGUUUUGACAUGAAAGAUCUGGGAGAAGCCGAUGUAAUUCUAAACAUGAAACUUAUUAAGGAUAAGAGUGGGAUUACAUUAACGCAAUCUCACUAUGUUGAGAAGGUCUUGAACCGAUUCGGUUUUAUGGAUAGCAAGCCUUCUCCAACACCUUAUGAUCCCAGCGUGACACUCAGAAAGAACAAGAAAGAAACGAGAGAUCAAUUAAGAUACUCUCAAAUUGUCGGUUCAUUCAUGUACUUAGCUAGCGCUACAAGACCAGAUAUCUCUUUUGCUUUGAGCAAACUGAGUAGGUUCAUGUCCAACCCGGGUGAUGAUCAUUGGCAUGCACUAGAAAGGGUCUUGCGCUAUCUGAGAGGUACUAUGAGUUACGGAAUUACUUAUUCAGGGCAUCCUGCUGUGCUAGAAGGAUAUAGUGAUUCAAAUUGGAUCUCCGAUAUUGAUGUACUUUACGCAACAAGUGGGUAUGUAUUUACUCAUGGUGGUGGCGCAGUGUCAUGGAGGUCUUGCAAGCAAACCAUAUUGACAAGGUCAACUAUGGAAGCAGAAUUAACUACUUUGGACACAGCUACUGUUGAGGCAGAAUGGCUGCGUGAGCUCUUGAUGGACUUGCCGGUUGUUGAAAAACCUGUACCGGCUAUUCUUAUGAAUUAUGAUAACCAAACACGUGAAAAGACGUUUGAAGUCUGUCAGGAAGUUGAGAAACUUCGGAGUAAUAACUGUUAUGUAUAUACAAACAGACAAAAACCUGGCAGAUCCCUUUACAAAGGGACUAUCACGAAAUGUGAUAGAUAUUGCAUCGAGGGAGAUGGGUAUGAGACCCAUAGAUGUUACACCAUAGUAAUAACCCAACCUUUGUGA
rnacentral:rRNA from 1 species